UUAUAGUAGCUUAGUUUUUGUUUCUGCAUGGAGAACUCGUUGAGAAGCCAAUGUGUCUGGAUCAGUUUGCAGUCAUUCUAUGAUUUGAAGCUCAGAUUGGAUGAGUAUAGUAAUUUCACAUCUUGAGUUUGAAAUUUAAUUGUGUUAAUUAUAUUCUUAUAAAGAGUUAUCUAUUUGGUAUGACUUAAGGAAAUUUAAUUGAGAAUUCUUGCCAUAUAAUCUUUGGCCAUUUUUUUUUCCAAGCAAUUGAUUUAUAAUUUUUUCUUAACCGUCUUUUGUAGGACGUUGAUUGACAGAUUAGGAAAUUCGAUCUGUAAGAUUUUCGGAGCAUCUUCCAUCUAUGGCAGUGCCUAUCAAAUCAAAGUUUGGAUUUUAGAAGUAUCAUCCCCACUUGUAACAAGCAUCAUCAAGAUACUUGGACCGAAUGCCCUAGGAACUUAUACUCCCUGUUCUAUCCAUGAAUAGUUUCUAAAGUUAGACAUUUUUCUCACAGCAGAGAGUGCGAUGAUCUGCACAUGCAAAGUAACCAGAGAAAAUGAAGAAUGGUGGAAUGGUGAUGAAAUGUUUGGAUGAUAUCUUGUAAUUGUAACAGGAGGGCAUGGAUAUUUUGUUUCAGAUAUUUUGAUAUGUAACCAUGUGCUAAUAUUUGUUAUAUGUUCUGUACUUUAAUUCAUAGAAACUGUUCAAUUAAGGUUUGAUUUAUUUCA